rnacentral:rRNA from 1 species
UACGUAGGGGGCGAGCGUUGUCCGGAUUCAUUGGGCGUAAAGAGCUCGUAGGCGGCUUGAUAAGUCGGGUGUGAAACCUCCAGGCUCAACCUGGAGUCGCCACUCGAUACUGUCAUGGCUAGAGUCCGGUAGGGGACCACGGAAUUCCUGGUGUAGCGGUGGAAUGCGCAGAUAUCAGGAGGAACACCGGUGGCGAAGGCGGGUCUCUGGGCAGUAACUGACGCUGAGGAGCGAAAGCGUGGGGAGCGAACAGG